UACGUAGGGUGCAAGCGUUAAUCGGAAUUACUGGGCGUAAAGCGUGCGCAGGCGGUUUGUUAAGACAGGUGUGAAAUCCCCGGGCUCAACCUGGGAAUGGCGCUUGUAACUGGCAGGCUAGAGUGUGUCAGAGGGAGGUAGAAUUCCACGUGUAGCAGUGAAAUGCGUAGAGAUGUGGAGGAAUACCGAUGGCGAAGGCAGCCUCCUGGGAUAACACUGACGCUCAGGCACGAAAGCGUGGGGAGCAAACAGG
rnacentral:rRNA from 1 species